rnacentral:tRNA from 1 species
GGAAGGGUGGCUGAGUGGUCGAAGGCACCUGACUCGAAAUCAGGAGUAGGCGCAAGCCUACCGUGGGUUCGAAUCCCACCCCUUCCGCCA